CAGGGGAUCCUGCUAAAGCGGAGCGGCAAGUCCCUGAACAAGGAGUGGAAGAAGAAGUAUGUGACGCUCUGUGACAACGGGCUGCUCACCUAUCACCCCAGCCUGCAUGAUUACAUGCAGAACAUCCACGGCAAGGAGAUUGACCUGCUGCGGACAACGGUGAAAGUGCCAGGGAAGCGCCUGCCCCGAGCCACACCUGCCACAGCCCCGGGCACCAGCCCCCGUGCCAACGGGCUGUCCGUGGAGCGGAGUAACACACAGCUGGGUGGGGGCACAGAAUGGCAGUAAAGCUGAGGCAAAGCAAAUGGCAUACGUGGACUAGAAUGGAGGGUGCAGGGGCCCAAGCCAGGAGGGGCCCCUCAAGGAGCACUGCGGCGAUGGGUGUCAGCACCACCCAGCUCGUUCCACAAGUUGGAAGAUCUCUGAUGCAGAGACCCCCCGCCCCGCUCCCGGACCACAGUGAGGGGACAGAGCUGUGGACCGUGAAGAUCUGGGGACAGGCUGCUUCCUAAGGCACACAGGGUCCCUGCGCAGCCUCUGGCUCUCCCAGAAGCUGGCCCGCCACCUGAUGAACCCAGUGCCCUGCCGAAUGUCUCAGGCUCUGCCCUGCAGCUCUAUUUUUAGGAUAGUAUCUUUGAGAAUCCUCCCCUGCCCGGCCUCCCUU
rnacentral:sRNA from 1 species